AACGAACGCUGGCGGCAUGCCUAACACAUGCAAGUCGAACGAGACCUUCGGGUCUAGUGGCGCACGGGUGCGUAACGCGUGGGAACCUGCCCUUAGGUUCGGAAUAACUCCCCGAAAGGGGUGCUAAUACCGGAUAAUGUCUUCGGACCAAAGAUUUAUCGCCUUUGGAUGGGCCCGCGUUGGAUUAGCUAGUUGGUAGGGUAAAAGCCUACCAAGGCGACGAUCCAUAGCUGGUCUGAGAGGAUGAUCAGCCACACUGGGACUGAGACACGGCCCAGAAUCCUACGGGAGGCAGCAGUGGGGAAUAUUGGACAAUGGGCGAAAGCCUGAUCCAGCAAUGCCGCGUGAGUGAUGAAGGCCUUAGGGUUGUAAAGCUCUUUUAACCGGGAUGAUAAUGACAGCACCGGGAGAAUAAGCCCCGGCUAACUCCGUG
rnacentral:rRNA from 1 species